CAAUGUCAGACUAUCCUCAUUCUGGAGACAAAGUGCGGACCGUGGCCUGCAAGUGGGAGUGGAAAGUCUUCAAGGAUAUACUGCAGCCAACCCAAGCAUGUACAGGGUUGGAAUGAUCUCCUUCCGCACAAGAAGAGCAGACCGUCACCCGCCAGCAGGAGUUGGGUGACUGCAGCCAAUCCCCAGACGCCAAGUUAAUCAAUGUUGAGCAUAUCAGGCCUUGACCUCUCUCGACUUCCAAUUGACAGGAUGCGCAGAGAACAGAAGUGCCUGUGACAGGAUUCCCAGCAAGCAGCAGAGCCCGGCAGACGUUGCAGCAACCGGGAUCCAAUUCCGUAGCCAGGAAGCCUUACAGAGAAGCAUUUUGAACUUAUUUCAUACUGUCUCCUUUCCUAUCAUCCUAAUCUAACAUAGCUAACCAUUCCCCUCCCCCUCCAUCAUGCAUUUUCCUGACCUAACUGUCUUCAUUUGCUGACUUCCUUUUGUAUUAAUUUUCAUGUCAUGUCUCUGAAUUUCUGUGAUUUGUUGGAUUGUUUUGAAUUUGUACUAAUUUUCUGUCAGUUGUGUAUUUUCAGUGACUCGGACGUGGUACGACGCUGGAGGAUCAAGGCCGGCCAAAAGAUGAAGAUUCCAUUGCCCAGUUAUGUCCGUCGGCCAACAUUGGCCAGAGCGGAAAAUGGUCAGGCAAGCGUCGAUCCCACUGUGACGUACAACUCUGUGGUCUGUCUGCAGCAGUCUGGAGAGCAGGGAGCGACUGCAGCCAACCAUUGAAGAGAGGAGAUGCAGUGUAAUGCAGCCCUCUAUCCCCAGCUGUGAAGGGGAGCCUGUCACCUGAAAAGCAAGAGUGCUGAAAGUCGAGGAGUCCACUGCGGCCACACCAAGGACGGUCAAGGUCAGACUAUCCUCAUUCUCGAGACAAAGUGCGGACCGUGGCCUGCAAGUGGGAGUGGAAAGUCUUCAAGGAUAUACUGCAGCCAACCCAAGCAUGUAAAGUACAGGGUUGGACUGAUCUCCUUCUGCACAAGGAGAGCAGACAAUUCAAGGU